CAGUGUGCUAUCGGAGGCUGAGUCAUCCCUGCUGCAAAUCGAAACUGUGGAUCUGAAAAGAAUUUUCUCAUCUAAACCAGAGCUUCAGUCUCCCAGAAAGCAAUGAAGAGAAAAGCUGAAGUCAGUGAUUAGGAGUGUCUGUGUAAGUAAAAGCAACAGGCAAUUACUGAGUGUGGUGUGAGAGGCACGGAAAGAUUGGGAAUUCAGCAAGAAGAGGAAUUGAAGUCAAACCUCACCUACUUCCCAGAGUCUUCUGGAUUUUCUGUUAGAAGCUUCAGUAUCUGAGAUAUUCCUAUGCAUUCUACUGCUUUAAUCCCACCUAAGUAGAGAUGUCCACAACAGAGAGAAUGGAGCUGUCACAUCGUUUCAACUGCCCAGGAAAGGACUCAGGCAACAAAUAAACAGCUAAGAUUUUACUAGAGUAUGAAAGGGAGAGCACUGGAGUGCAGUGCGGGGAUGGAGAUGCAGCUGUGGUGGCUGGAAGUACAGGAGGGCAGCUGGAGGCACCUGGCCUCUGAAGCCUGUCUUCUUCAUCUGGGUGAGAUCUGCUGGAGUCAGGAAGGACUUCCUGCUGCAAGGAUAAAGACCUAAGAAGCAUCAUGACCUGAGAAACAGUUUCACAGGCCACUCUUGGCAGGUAUGAUCCCAGGCUGGCCAUACAGCCAAAAGCCCACAUCCUACAUCUGAGUAACAGCCCAGGCUGACAUGACCCCAGGGCAGACAUGACCCCAGGCUGGCUGCCUAUUGAGUAAUUUCUUACGUUUUGCCUCCUCACAAAUGAAAUGCUAUCAUUUGUGAAAAUAUAAAUAGAAUUGGAGGAUAUUAUGUUAAGUGAAAUAAACCAUGAACAGAAAGUUAAACACUACAUGUUCUCAUUCAUAUUUGGAAGGUAAGAAAACGUUGAACUCAUAGAAGUAAAAUAGAACAGAGGAUACCUGAUGCUGGGAAAACUUGGGGGAAGGGAAGGAUAGGAAGGGAUUUGUUAAAGAAUAUAAAAGUUAAACUGGAUGAAAGGAAGUUCUUGUGUUCUCUACCACUGUAGGAUGACUAUAGUUAACAAUAAUAUAUCAUGUAGUUUAAAUAGCUAGAAGGAGGAUAUUGAAUGUUCCUAAUACAAAGAAAUGAUAAAAAUUUGAGAUGAUGGAUAUGCUAAUUAUGCUGAUCUGAUCACUGUCUAUUUAUCAACACCUCAUUAUAUAUCCUAAGAAUAUGUACAAUAACUAUUUGUCAAUCUAAAAAAUUAGAUAAAAAUUGUUUUGUCUUUUCUGGGUACUUUACAUGUUCAUAUAUAUUUUUGAGUCAGCUUGUCAAUUUCUACAACAAAAGCUUGUUGGGAUUUUGAUUGAGAUUAUGCUGAAUUUAUAACUUGUGAAGAAUUGAUUUCUUUACAAUAUUGGACCUUCCAAUACAUGAACAUAGUAUAUGUCUCCAUUUGUUUAGGUGUUCUUUAAUUUUUUUAAACAAUGUUUUGAAAUUUCCAGGAUUUUUCACUGAUUUAGUUAAAUUGAUCCUUAAAUAUUUAGCUUUUGAUGCUGUUAUUUUUAUUGAAAAUUUCUAAUUGUUACAUUCUAAUACAUGAAAACAGUAUAUAUCGUGAA
rnacentral:lncRNA from 10 species